rnacentral:lncRNA from 1 species
CUGUAAGGACUUGAUGUGUGGGGUUCCAAUGCCCAAGUGUAAUGACUUAUUUAUUGUGUAUCUUAUUCAUUUAUGUUUGUUGAGUUAUUUUUACUCCAUUCUUUAUGUUGUAAUAAAUAUGUGGUCACUGUUUGUUUUUUCUCUUUUAGUAUAGAUUUCUAAAGUGUAAUGACUUGUUUAUUUAGCUCUUGUGUGUUUGUGUUUCUUAUUCAUUUAUCUUGUAAUAAACCUGUAGCUCAUGUGUGUUUUAUGGCAAUAAGGAGUUAUUUAGCUCAUCUGUAUUUGUGUAUCUUAUUUAUUUAUGUUUGUUGAGUUAUUUUCAC